CACUCGCCUCUCACCGCCGCCGGCAGGUUGCGCCGUCCAGUGGCAGUCCCCCUGUCUCCGCGCCGCCACCCAACCCGUGCGCUCGCCACUGCCAGCCGCUUGUCCUCCUCCGCGACCGACGUUGCGCGCUUCACUUCUCCGUCUGGUGCCGGGCGGCGCUCCUGCCCCAACGGCGAGGUGCGAUCCAGUCGGGAGGAGGAAUUUGCCUUUCCAUCGCCGUCUCCCCAUUCCCCAAAUUACACCCGCCGACCAAUCUCCACUGAUGAGCGGUGAAGCAGGCAUGUCCCAUCAAUCAGACACUUCGUCCUGCUCUGAUGAUUCCGAAGAUAGAAACACCGUCAACCCAACAGGCAUAUACACUAUGGAAGAUCAUUGCUGAGCACUGUGUCCUGCACAAUUUACUUGAGCGGAUCAGUGUGAAGAUUCAUGCCAAAAUCAAAGCACGGCAAGCUGGUAAAACUGGUACGUCUCGCCGCCAGACUGGUUUUCAUAGGAGAGUCAUAGAGAGAGAUCACGGAGAGGGUCAUCAACGGCUUGUCACUGAUUUCUUUUCUGAAGAUCCAGUCUAUGAUGAAAAGGUAUUCAGAACAAGGUACCGGAUGAGUAGACCCCUCUUUCUAUGUAUUGUCCGUGCGCUAGGUGAGUGGUCCCCCUAUUUCACCAAGAGGACUGAUAUCUGCUAUCGCCAAGGGCUGUCACCUCUGCAGAAAUGCACAGCGGCAAUUCGUAUGUUAGCACGUGGCUGCGCGGCAGAUGCUGUGGACGAAUAUGUGCAGAUUGGUACGAGCACAGCAAUGGAGUGUUUGGAGCGGUUUGCAGAAGGGGUGAUUGACAAGUUUAGCGGAGAAUACUUGUGAGGCCCUACUAGUACUGAUAUGCAGCACCUACUACAAAUUGGUGAAGGCCUUGGCUUCCCUGGCAUGUUGGGAAGCAUUGGUUGCAUGCACUGGGAGUGGGAAAAUUGCCCUCCUAAAUGGAUGCGUUGUCUUAAUCAUAGUGAUCACGGCUUUGCCACAUUUAUUCUUGAAGCUGUUGCUUCACAAGAUCUCUGGAUAUGGCAUGCUUCUUUCAAUGCUGUUGGCUCCAUCAAUGACAUCAGUGUUCUCAAUCAAUCACCGUCGUUUACUCAAGUCUUGAAAGGACAAGCUCCCCCGGUGCAAUUCUCCAUCAAUAAGAGUCAAUACAAUAUGGGAUACUACCUUGCUGAUGAAAUUUACCCAGAAUGCACUGUAUUUGUUAAGACAAUACCCUUCCCUCGAACUGAAAAGGAACGAUUGUUUGCUAAACAUCAAGAAGAGGCAACGAAGGAUGUUCAGCGCGCAUUUGGAGUCCUGCAAUCUCGUUUCCCCAUUGUUCGUGGUCCAAUUCGCUUUUUCCAACGAGCAACUCUUGGGAAAAUCCUGCAAGCUUGUGUCAUACUCCAUAACAUGGCAGUUCAGGAUGAGAAAGACAUGGCAAGUACUUGUUCUGAACCAAAUGAAGCUUCAGGUAUAACACCUGUUUUACCAUCAAACAUCAAAACUGGGCCUGCCAAUUGCUUAACUAAUGUACUCCAGAGAAGUGCCCCUGUUUGUAGUCAAGCAACACAUGGCCAGCUAAGAAGGGAUUUAACUGAGCAUAUCUGGCAGCAGUUUGGGCCAUUUGGCGACAAGUAAAAAAGAUCUAGUAUUAGUGUACGAAGUCAUGUCGCUUGGUGGGUCACUGGCUAUAAUUAGCUGUAUAAAUGGCUUUUUUUGAGGGGAAAAAAGGCUGAUUGGCAGGAUACAAUCGUAGAGAGACUUUUGAAUUGUGAGUCUCCACCUCAACUUAACUGGAAAGGUGCUGUAUUCGUACAUCUCGUCCAAGAGCAGCGGCUCAUUUCACGGUAGAUGGCCCAUGGAGCAGGGCUUGCUUACAACAUGCACACAUUCAGACACCUGUAAGUUUUAAUUCCAAUGAGCUUAUCAAUGCGGAUUUGAAGCAAUAUUGGUUGCUGGCAUCAAGGAAAUGCGUUGCACUACCACUACGUGCUAAGUUAGCCCAGAAAUCCAGAAUGGACCAAAAUAUUGAUUAGCUUGGCUAACCUUUUGUCAACACUUGAGAUUUUGCAUUUUGGCUCCAGCUAUAGGUGUCCGAUCGAGCAGGCCGGCAUAGCUGGCUACCUCGUGUUUCAUUUUUAUUGUGACGAUUAUUGCCAAUCUUGUUGCAAAGGAACGGAUGGAGUAGAAAAGGCCGGCCUCCAGCUAGCUUUAUUUGCAGCAAUUUACUCGGUCGCUUCAAUCCCAUGCGAUUCCUACGUCUUUUGCUGAACUAUAUAUACUAUAUAUGUGCUAGGGAUAAUUGCAAUUGCAACUCGAGGCACAUGGGAUAUAUAACGUGUAAGCACGUUGGCUCAAGUAGAAGCUAUAGUGCGACCCAUCAUGUUAAUUGAAUACCUGAUACUGUAAGAUUUUCCAACGCAUCGAUCAACAUAAUUCAUUGAAGAAAAGGAGCACGCCUGAAGCAAGCAAGCGCGUGCUUAUAAUUAGUUUAUAUGUAAUUCGGCAAAUCUGAGCCUAUAAAAGGCCCACCCACGUACUCACCUAGCAUCGAUCGCACAUCCAGCUUCCCAACAUACACAACACACUAGCAUUAUUAUCGCCAUACGUACAGUAGUAACACACGCACAAAAUUCAAAGAUGGCGCCCGCCAACGCCAAGCCCUGGAAGCAGCAGGCCCUGAUUCUGAUGGCGGCGCUGCUCCUGGGCGCUGCUUCUGGGGCUCCAGGCGGCCCUGACCCGCUGGGCGCUUGUUCCGCGGGUCUUGAGCAGUUGCGUUCCUCAGACCGAUCAUGUUUCGGAACCGUACUCUUCGGUGCCACCUCUGAGGAAGAUGUUCGAAAGUGCUGUGGCAGGCUAGGAGGUGUCAUUUCUGAAUCCAGCGGAAACUGCGCUUGCGGUCUUGUGAAGGCAUUUGCGCAGAGGAACAUCGACGUCGCUAGAGUAUGCGAGCUUGAUAUGACCAAAGAAAAGUGCCAGCCCAAGGAGGAUGCCGACAAGGCAAAGGCGGAUGCCGGGUCAUCUGUUUCAUUUCCCGCUAAUUAAUAAUUUCACUGCAGGCUCAAGCGGCAUCGUCGCACCGGCUUUACUUCCUUCCUUCCUUUUAUUUUUAUAAUUGCUUCCUUGUUUAAUUUAUUUGCGGUUUCAAAUGGUGUGGUAUUUGUUUGUUGGACUAUUCAGCUUGGUGGUUUGAGUUGAUUAUUAUUGUGUUUGUAACUUGCAUUGUUAUGAACCCGGGCCCCUCUAUGAUAUAAAUUUGAUUAUUAUUGUGUU